GACGAACGCUGGCGGCAGGCCUAACACAUGCAAGUCGAGCGCACUCUUCGGAGUGAGCGGCGGACGGGUUAGUAACGCGUGGGAACAUACCCUUUUCUACGGAAUAGCCUCGGGAAACUGAGAGUAAUACCGUAUACGCCCUUUGGGGGAAAGAUUUAUCGGAGAAGGAUUGGCCCGCGUUUGAUUAGAUAGUUGGUGGGGUAAUGGCCUACCAAGUCUACGAUCAAUAGCUGGUUUGAGAGGAUGAUCAGCAACACUGGGACUGAGACACGGCCCAG
rnacentral:rRNA from 1 species